rnacentral:rRNA from 1 species
UUAAUUGAAGAGUUUGAUCAUGGCUCAGAUUGAACGCUGGCGGCAGGCUUAACACAUGCAAGUCGAGCGGUAGCACAGGGGAGCUUGCUCCCUGGGUGACGAGCGGCGGACGGGUGAGUAAUGUCUGGGAAACUGCCUGAUGGAGGGGGAUAACUACUGGAAACGGUAGCUAAUACCGCAUAACGUCGCAAGACCAAAGAGGGGGACCUUCGGGCCUCUUGCCAUCAGAUGUGCCCAGAUGGGAUUAGCUAGUAGGUGGGGUAAUGGCUCACCUAGGCGACGAUCCCUAGCUGGUCUGAGAGGAUGACCAGCCACACUGGAACUGAGACACGGUCCAGACUCCUACGGGAGGCAGCAGUGGGGAAUAUUGCACAAUGGGCGCAAGCCUGAUGCAGCCAUGCCGCGUGUGUGAAGAAGGCCUUCGGGUUGUAAAGCACUUUCAGCGAGGAGGAAGGUGGUGAACUUAAUACGUUCAUCAAUUGACGUUACUCGCAGAAGAAGCACCGGCUAACUCCGUGCCAGCAGCCGCGGUAAUACGGAGGGUGCAAGCGUUAAUCGGAAUUACUGGGCGUAAAGCGCACGCAGGCGGUUUGUUAAGUCAGAUGUGAAAUCCCCGGGCUCAACCUGGGAACUGCAUUUGAAACUGGCAAGCUAGAGUCUCGUAGAGGGGGGUAGAAUUCCAGGUGUAGCGGUGAAAUGCGUAGAGAUCUGGAGGAAUACCGGUGGCGAAGGCGGCCCCCUGGACGAAGACUGACGCUCAGGUGCGAAAGCGUGGGGAGCAAACAGGAUUAGAUACCCUGGUAGUCCACGCUGUAAACGAUGUCGAUUUGGAGGUUGUGCCCUUGAGGCGUGGCUUCCGGAGCUAACGCGUUAAAUCGACCGCCUGGGGAGUACGGCCGCAAGGUUAAAACUCAAAUGAAUUGACGGGGGCCCGCACAAGCGGUGGAGCAUGUGGUUUAAUUCGAUGCAACGCGAAGAACCUUACCUACUCUUGACAUCCAGAGAACUUUCCAGAGAUGGAUUGGUGCCUUCGGGAACUCUGAGACAGGUGCUGCAUGGCUGUCGUCAGCUCGUGUUGUGAAAUGUUGGGUUAAGUCCCGCAACGAGCGCAACCCUUAUCCUUUGUUGCCAGCGGUUCGGCCGGGAACUCAAAGGAGACUGCCAGUGAUAAACUGGAGGAAGGUGGGGAUGACGUCAAGUCAUCAUGGCCCUUACGAGUAGGGCUACACACGUGCUACAAUGGCAUAUACAAAGUGGUAAGCGCCCUCCCGAAGGUUAAGCUACCUACUUCUUUUGCAACCCACUCCCAUGGUGUGACGGGCGGUGUGUACAAGGCCCGGGAACGUAUUCACCGUAGCAUUCUGAUCUACGAUUACUAGCGAUUCCGACUUCAUGGAGUCGAGUUGCAGACUCCAAUCCGGACUACGACAUACUUUAUGAGGUCCGCUUGCUCUCGCGAGGUCGCUUCUNNNNNNNNNNGGGUUGCAAAAGAAGUAGGUAGCUUAACCUUCGGGAGGGCGCUUACCACUUUGUGAUUCAUGACUGGGGUGAAGUCGUAACAAGGUAACCGUAGGGGAACCUGCGGUUGGAUCACCUCCUUACCUAAAGA